rnacentral:rRNA from 1 species
ACGGAGGGUGCGAGCGUUAAUCGGAAUUACUGGGCGUAAAGCGCAUGCAGGCGGUUCGUUAAGUCAGGUGUGAAAUCCCCGGGCUCAACCUCGGAACGGCGCUUGUGACUGGCGGGCUGGAGUACGGCAGAGGGGGGUGGAAUUCCACGUGUAGCGGUGAAAUGCGUAGAGAUGUGAAGGAACACCAGUGGCGAAGGCAGCCCCCUGGGCAGAUACUGACGCUCA